CCUACGGGUGGCAGCAGUGAGGAAUAUUGGUCAAUGGACGAGAGUCUGAACCAGCCAAGUAGCGUGAAGGAUGACUGCCCUAUGGGUUGUAAACUUCUUUUAUAUGGGAAUAAAAUGUUCCACGUGUGGGAUUUUGUAUGUACCCUAUGAAUAAGGCUCGGCUAACUCCGUGCCAGCAGCCGCGGUAAUACGGAGGAUCCGAGCGUUAUCCGGUUUUAUUGGGGUUAAAGGGAAGGUAGGUGGGUUGUUAAGUCAGUUGUGAAAGUUUGCGGCUCAACCGUAAAAUUGCAGUUGAAACUGGCAGUCUUGAGUACAGUAGAGGUGGGCGGAAUUCGUGGUGUAGCGGUGAAAUGCUUAGAUAUCACGAAGAACUCCGAUUGCGAAGGCAGUUCACUGGACUGCAACUGACACUGAGGCUCGAAAGUGUGGGUAUCAAACAGGAUUAGAUACCCUUGUAGUC
rnacentral:rRNA from 1 species